GGUUGCGAUUAUACUAGCAUUAGUGCAUCGGAUCCCAUUAGAACUUCGUAGUUAAGCGUGUUUAGGCGUGAGUAGUACUAGGAUGGGUGACCUACUGGGAAGUUCUUGGGUUGCACCCU